rnacentral:tRNA from 1 species
CUAGAGUUGGCUGAGUGGUUGAAAGCAGAAGACUUAUAAUCUUCCAUAGUAUUUAUACUAUCGUGAGUUCGAAUCUCACACUCUCCGCCA